rnacentral:lncRNA from 1 species
GGGUGGGGAGGGGAACGUGAGCGCCAUGUUGGGUGUCUGGGUUUCUUUUUGUUGGCCUGCGCUUUUCGGCGAGAAAGCCAACGGUUAGUAGUGCAAUGCACAUCAGAAACAGACGUUAGGGGAGGUGUUUUUUUGUUGUGAUUUGUACUACAGCUUUGCAGAUCUCUAGGCUUCUCUUGAGCUUCUGUUCUCGUGCUGGAUGGAGAUUUCGAUUCCUAUGUAUUUUGAUAUUUGAACUUGGGAGCUGUACCGUUUGAGUUUGGCCUUUUUCUUUUUUCCUCUUUUCUUUUAUUCCUCUUGGACGAGGUUGUUGGAUGCUUCCAAUGCUUAUUAGAAAUUUUGGAAGUCCACAAGAUGAUUCUUUAGCUAUUAUUGGUUGUUAAUUAUAUCCGUAU